GGGGGCGCACCGGCUUCGACGGGAACACGUCGGGGUCAUGGUUGCAUGCCGAGCUCGAUGCGCUCGUAAAACCGAUCGAAAAAAACAAACGCGAAUAACGAUUUCGCUCUCGCAGCCUAAAAACCUGUGAGCGCUCCUCCGCUGCACGCUCACUGCGGCGGAAUCGAGCGUCAUGAUGUGAGCUAGCGAUCCGCGCAACGCCUACGUACGGCUCGCGAAAUCAAGAGGCUGGCUGUUGGAUGGUUCCCGCUCUCCGGACAAUCCUUCAGUGAGAUCAAUCGGAGAGACAAGCAUGUAGAGCCGGACUACCACGUUUUUCGGACGCGGGUUCAACUCCCGCCGCCUCCACCA
rnacentral:tmRNA from 1 species